CACUGUGUCCUUUCUGUGUAG
rnacentral:miRNA from 1 species